GGUCAACGCAAGGAGGCACACAUGGGACUGACCAAUUCAAUUAAUGUCCUGAUCGUCGGUGCAGCGUUUGUUUUCAUCGCGACGAUGCUGUUUAUCUGACACGGGUCUAAACAACUGAAACCCAUGAGUUGGCCAGGUUAGGCCUCUCUCCAGCAGAUACCAUUUCAAAACAAGUAAGAGGCGCAGGACACUUAAGUCCUGCGCCUC
rnacentral:sRNA from 1 species